CCGAAACCCGGUGAUCUAGCCAUGGGCAGGUUGAAGGUUGGGUAACACUAACUGGAGGACCGAACCGACUAAUGUUGAAAAAUUAGCGGAUGACUUGUGGCUGGGGGUGAAAGGCCAAUCAAACCGGGAGAUAGCUGGUUCUCCCCGAAAGCUAUUUAGGUAGCGCCUCGUGAAUUCAUCUCCGGGGGUAGAGCACUGUUUCGGCAAGGGGGUCAUCCCGACUUACCAACCCGAUGCAAACUGCGAAUACCGGAGAAUGUUAUCACGGGAGACACACGGCGGGUGCUAACGUCCGUCGUGAAGAGGGAAACAACCCAGACCGCCAGCUAAGGUCCCAAAGUCAUGGUUAAGUGGGAAACGAUGUGGGAAGGCCCAGACAGCCAGGAUGUUGGCUUAGAAGCAGCCAUCAUUUAAAGAAAGCGUAAUAGCUCACUGGUCGAGUCGGCCUGCGCGGAAGAUGUAACGGGGCUAAACCAUGCACCGAAGCUGCGGCAGCGACACUAUGUGUUGUUGGGUAGGGGAGCGUUCUGUAAGCCUGUGAAGGUGGCCUGUGAGGGUUGCUGGAGGUAUCAGAAGUGCGAAUGCUGACAUAAGUAACGAUAAAGCGGGUGAAAAGCCCGCUCGCCGGAAGACCAAGGGUUCCUGUCCAACGUUAAUCGGGGCAGGGUGAGUCGACCCCUAAGGCGAGGCCGAAAGGCGUAGUCGAUGGGAAACAGGUUAAUAUUCCUGUACUUGGUGUUACUGCGAAGGGGGGACGGAGAAGGCUAUGUUGGCCGGGCGACGGUUGUCCCGGUUUAAGCGUGUAGGCUGGUUUUCCAGGCAAAUCCGGAAAACC
rnacentral:rRNA from 1 species